AUGAAUUUAAUACAGUUUAGAACGAGUAAAACAGAGCUUUAACCUUCAGAGCAAUUUUGAUCAACGCUGUUAGAAAAAUCGCCUGCCACGGCUUGAAAUGCUAGCGUACUUUACAAGACGUGAAAAUAUGCAUUUUGCCGUCGUCAACAGAGCUUGGAUCCCUAGUUUAAAGAACGGCUACAUGAUUAUUCCGUUUUAAGAUCCUGUUUGAAAAUUACUCCAAAAUAGUGAAAAAAUAACAUUCCAAUAGGCAAUAAGAUAG